rnacentral:misc_RNA from 1 species
GAAAUGCGAUAAGUAAUGUGAAUUGCAGAAUUCAGUGAAUCAUCGAAUCUUUGAACGCACAUUGCGCCCGCCAGUAUUCUGGCGGGCAUGCCUGUUCGAGCGUCAUUUCAACCAUCAAGCCCCCGGCUUGUGUUGGGGACCUGCGGCUGCCCGCAGGCCCUGAAAAACAGUGGCGGGCUCGCUGUCACACCGAGCGUAGUAGCAUACAUUCUCGCUCAGGGCGUGCUGCGGGUUCCGGCCGUUAAACGACCUUCUUAACCCAAGGUUGACCUCGGAUCAGGUAGGAAGACCCGCUGAACUUAAGC